rnacentral:lncRNA from 1 species
GCAUGUUGAUGAGUGGAGCUGGCCUGGCGCGGGCUGGACGACGCCGCCGCCCCGAGUGCACACCACCGACGGCCGAGGUAGUGCUGCUCCAUCUCCUUCCUCUCUUGCGCUUGCGUGCGUGUGUGUUGCUGCUCGUCCUGUGUGCGUGCGUGCCCGGCGUCUGUGCUCGCGCGGGGUGCGUGCUAGGCGUGUGCCUGCUCUGUGUGUGCAUGCGUGUUGGACGUGUGUGUGCUACUGCGGCGUGCUCUAUGUGUGUGCGUGUGCUGGGCGUCUUUAUGCUCUGCGUGUGCAUGUGUUGGGCGUCUUCAUGCUUUGCGUGCUCUGCGUGUGCGCGUGUGCUGGGCGUGUUCAUGCUCUGCGUGUGUGCGUGUGUGCUGGGCGUGCUUGUGCUCUUCGGUGCUAUGUGCUGAUGUGUGCUAUGUGCCGCCAUACCAGCCAUCGUCGACGUCCUGCUCCGGUCGCCGUCGACAUACACCUGCCAUGUUUGACCUCCUCGCUGAUGCUGUUGGAUUUCUAGGCGACAACUCUGCUCUUUGUAGACUUGGUCUCGUGGAGGCAACGCUGAUGGAUUUCUGAUUUAUGCUGAUUUCUAGUUAUACCAAUUGAUGUAUAUAUCGAUUUGCUGAUAUGUUGCAUCAUUGACCCACGGAUAUGUUUGUGUAUGGAAUGGUCAAUCAAUCAUCAAUGUUUCCAAAUAUAAUAAAAUAAUU